CCACAAGAAGAAAAAAAUAAUUAGAAACUACACUAAAAAAUAUUUAACACGCUAUGUUAUACACAUUUGACAAAAGAUGGAACAUGUAAAUUUGUGCGGUAUUCUGUAGUACAUACACCUGUAAUAUAAAUUAAGCGCACAAGUUUUUUUAACAAAACAAACAACAAAAUGAACUGUAACAGUUUAUAAAGUGGAGCUGAAAUGAAUACUUAUUCUCCAUUAAUUAAAUCAGUAUUAUUUCUCAAAUAUGCAUAAUAAUUUUUAUAUAUUACAAGUUGGUUAAUCACCAUGUUUUCUUU